AGAGCGGCGUACGGGUGCGGAACACGUGUGCACUGCCUUUAUCUGGGGGAUAGCCUUUCGAAAGGAAGAUUAAUACCCCAUAAUAUGUUGAAUGGCAUCAUUCGACAUUGAAAACUCCGGUGGAUAGAGAUGGGCACGCGCAAGAUUAGAUAGUUGGUGAGGUAACGGCUCACCAAGCCUACGAUCUUUAGGGGGCCUGAGAGGGUGAUCCCCCACACUGGUACUGAGACACGGACCAGACUCCUACGGGAGGCAGCAGUGAGGAAUAUUGGACAAUGGGUGAGAGCCUGAUCCAGCCAUCCCGCGUGAAGGACGACUGCCUAUGGGUUGUAAACUUCUUUUGUAUAGGGAUAAACCUACCCUCGUGAGGGUAGCUGAAGGUACUAUACGAAUAAGCACCGGCUAACUCCGUGCCAGCAGCCGCGGUAAUACGUAGGGUGCAAGCGUUAAUCGGAAUUACUGGGCGUAAAGCGUGCGCAGGCGGUUUCGCAAGUCAGAUGUGAAAGCCCCGGGCUUAACCUGGGAACUGCAUUUGAAACUACAAGGCUAAGUGUGUCAGAGGGGGGUAGAUUUCCACGUGUAGCAGUGAAUGCGUAAAAG
rnacentral:rRNA from 1 species